GUGUGUGUGUGUGUGUGUGUGUGUGUGUGUGUGUGUGUGUGUGUGUGAAACGGAUGCUUUGUUUUCCCAGGUGCGCGGGGGAGUGUGUGUCUGAUAAGGCUGGAGGAAUGAGCUGUGUGCUGUAAGCUGUGAGUGUGUGUGGGGCUCUCCCCUCCCUCUCUCACACACAGGAGAACUGAUUGUGUCCAUUUCUCAACUUUCCGAACACUUAGUGGCUUAAAAUCACAGUAAAACUUAAACUUAAACACUUCAAAAGUUAACAAACAACUAAGAUCACUCGUAAAUUAUUUAAUCUAAACAGAGUCGGCAGCCUGGCCACAGCUGACCGACAAUAACCCAGACAUUUAAAUAAUAAACAAAAGAUCUUACUUCACGGUAGAUAUAUAUAACGUGUUUGAUACGGAAGAUAGAGGAAAAACCGUCUGAUAAUUUGAAGCAAGUCACGCGGUCGACUGCUUAUCUUGGUCUAGAAGAGACGAGAAAAGGUAAAAGUUUAAAUGAAAUAAAACUUGCAGGAGCAAAACCUCUCUGAGCUGAUCAAAGGUGUCCCUUUGAAGUUCGCUGGUCAGAUGUGAUUUACUGUUCUCCGUUGUUUCUCCGCACGAGUGUUUCUCCAACGGGAUCAGCUGGAGUUGAGCAGAAAAGAGAAGAUUUGCUGGGUUUCCAAACCCAGCUUUUUCAGCAGUUCGGUGUUCGAUCUGCUCACGUUGAUCGGAGCGUGCAAUGAGCGUCCUUUUACAGCCAGUGAUACUGGACAAAGAACCCUAAGUUUCGUUUUUUGCUGAAACUUAUUGUAGCUGCCAGCUGAGCAGCUGAUGGCAAUGACCCUUAAUUGGCUCACAGAAUUUAUAUAAGCCACACCCUUCCAGAGGAAACUGUUUGGGUUAAUCUGUUUGUGGAGAAGUUAACACUGAAGUAUUGAAAUUAGUAGUGAUGAUGAUGUGAAGCCUUUUGAACCAACAAAGCUUUACAAUCCAAUUGUAUUGAAAAAAGGUUCAAGGUUCAACGCUUCAAAACUCUGGGAGGACAUCUGCUGGUUAAUGUUUGUAUUUCAUUGUAUUGUCAGCCAAUUCUACUGAAAAUGAAUGGUGUAUUGAACUUUAUGGACAAAUAAAGCAUUAAGAAGCUUCCUCAGGAUCAUAUAAUAAAAGUAUCUUGAAUCUGAACAUUACAUUAAAUAUACUAAAAUUGCUUUUCUUGGUGUGAAUACUUGAAAUGAAACAAUGUUUAUUUUUAUGGGAUAUGUGAUGAAAUAUAUCUAAUUUACACAUAUUAACAUUCUCUACAUAUUCAAAUAUUUUACUUUUCACAUUUCUAUUGGAUUAUUAGGCAGGAAUAAUUAGCUCAAUUUAUGUAUCUUUUUUUAGAAAUAGAGUAACAAAAUGAAGAUUAGAAAAUUCACAUAAGGAUAGGACAUACUAAAUUCCAUUACAUGUACAACCAAACUGAAAAGCUCAUCAACUAUUAUAUUAAUUACCAAUAAAAGAAGAAAAAUCAUACCAAACUAGAUUUUAAUUUAAUUAAAGGAAAAUGACAGACGGUCUAAAAGAUAUAGCCCUACAAUAUGCACCAAGUAUUACUACUAUAAAGGUAAUUUACUAGACUAGACCAAAUACAUUUUCAAACCUUGUUUGGAGAGAUUAAAUUGAAACAUUCCCACAUCUCAGAACGCCCGCUUUUUGCUACAGGAUCCAUUUUUGCGACUUGGUGUUUUAUCACUGAAUACUGAAUCCUGAACCGUCAAUCUCAGGUCAUACAAACCUGUAUGGCAAGCCAAAUAAGCAUUUAUUAUGAUAUCAGGAUAUCAGCCAGAAUUGUCAUGAACAUGUAAGCCAUUUCCGUCCACUAGUUAACUAGUUAGCCAUGUUUGUGUCAACUAGUUAAAUAUCGAGGGUGAAAAUGUGCCCACUAGUUAACUAGUGACAGCAGGAAUGCGCACUAGUUAACUAGUGAACACAUUUAUGCUUCAGUAGUUAACUAGUUGACACAAAAACUGCUCACUAGUUAACUAGUAAAAGCAGAAAUGCAUACCAGUCAGCUACUUGAAGGUAUUUGUCUCACUAGUUAACUAGUGAGGGUCAAAAUGUGCACACUAGUUAACUUGUGGUAGACAUAAAUGCACACUAGUUAACUAGUGAACACACUGAGCAAUGCUAGUUAACUAGUAAGAUAUGAAACAUUUUAACUAGUUAACUAGAGAGAAUUUAGGCCUUACUAGUUAACUAGUUGACAUUUAGGCUGUCCCUAUUUAACUAGUUGACACAAACAUGGCUAACUAGUUAACUAGUGGACAGAAAUGGCUUACAUGUUCAUGACAAUUCUGGCUGACAUCCUGAUAUCAGAAUAAAUGCUCUUUUGGCUUGCCAUUAAACUGCGCCUCUCGGUUUGCGUUGCUUUAAAUGUUUGAAACAAUGUGUGAAGCGGUCACGUGGGUGGAAGGGUGAAUGAAGCAUCGUUGCUCAUUGGUCACGUGACUUUCAGUAAACAAAUCAAGCUCCGACACAGUGCUUUGCUCUGCGGUGGUUCGUUUUGGUGAUACAAGCUUCGAAUCCUGCGUGUCACAGGUAACAUCACUAGAAAUUAGGUCUUAAGCCUAAAGUCAUCUCAGCUGCACAUUGCCGACUGCAUCCCCACUCAAAUCUACAGAUAAAGCAGCUUUGAGGAAUUGUUUUGUUUAGCACCCUUGACCAGCGGAGCAAGUUUUCACGGUGCAACUCGGAGUGAAGUCCAAGGCAUUUGGACCAGAGAAACAAAUAAAAGUUUAUGCACCAGUCGAGGCUCUCCAUUCAUUUUCUUCAUGGUGCCAGGGGCAGCUACACUUAUAGUUUUGAGCCGGUUGUUGUUGUUGUGGUUCUGCGCAUGUACAGAACCCCUGCUCCGCCUUGGCGGUGACGUCAUCACAUUGCUUCCGUGUGCCAAGCAUCAUGGGAAAUGAAGUUUCAGCUGGCGCUGAUGUUUAAUAUGCUUUUCAGAGCAAUUUAGCACAGUCUUUUUGGAGAAAAUCACUGGACAGUAAUUUCCUCAUGAGGUCAGACCCUCAACACAACUAAACCUCAGACUGAAACGGAGCAACCUGCUGCUGAUUCUGAUAGUUAGACGCAAUCAUGAGGAACAGCAAAACACCUAAACAAAGAUGGAAGUUAACAACCGUAUUUGAUGAAAGAUGUGUUGUAGGUAUGAUUCUGUCACCUUUUCAUGUUCAGCUUCAUUUGUUAGGUGUUAUGAAAUAAUUUCAAGUAUUAUCCUUUUGGAUAAUAAAAUUUAACCUUCAAGACUCACAUGUGUCUUUAUUUUCAUUUCAGUCCAAAUGAAGAGCAGGAUUUGUAUUAGUUCAGAGGAAGAUUAAUUGACCAGCAGGUGAUCGCAUGUGUAUUUUUUUUAUUAUCUCUGUUCCACGUGUAAAGUGUGAACUGCUAAUGAUCACCUCACCAAAAACACUACCCUCCAUUAUGAAGGAAAACUGCUUCCUCACCGGAAUUAGAAAAACAACAUGAAUGCUCAGAAUAUGUGUAUUUAAAUAUUUAUAAUACAGUUCUGUGAAAAAGUUUUUGUCCCCUAAAGAUUUCUGCUUUUUUUUUGUCAAAUUAUUUCAGAUUAGUACACAGAUUUCUAAAUAAGAGAUAAAUCAAAGUAAAUACUUUAUAAACUUUUCAAGUGGUGUCCUUAUUUUAGGGAAAAGCCUGACUGCAGAGUAUCCAGAUCCUGAAGCAGCCCCAGACCAUCACACCACCACCUCCAUGUUUGACAGUUGGUGUGAUGAUUUACUCAAGAUGUGACAGCUCAUGAACCCUUCCUGAAAGCUCAGUUUUUCCAAAAGGUUUGGGGUUAAUUAAAACGUUUUCUGAACAA